AAUCAGCGGGNAAAGAAGACCNUGUUGAGCUUGACUCUAGUCCGACUUUGUGAAGAGACAUGAGANGGUGUAGCAUAGGUGGGAGCGCNNAAGCGACCUUGAAAUACCACUACUUUUAUCGUUUCUUUACUUAUUCAGUCGAGUGGAGACCGGGGCGCAAGCCCCUAGCUUCUGGAAUUAAGCACGCGACUUCGAGCCGUGUGCGAUCCACUCUGAAGACCGUGUCAGGCGGGGAGUUUGACUGGGGCGGUACAUCUGUCAAAAGGUAACGCAGGUGUCCUAAGGCGAGCUCAGCGAGGACGGAAACCUCGCUUAGAGUAAAAGGGCAAAAGCUCGCUUGAUUUUGAUUUUCAGUACGAAUACAGACGGUGAAAGCCUGGCCUAUCGAUCCUUUUGACUUUAGGAGUUUUAAGCAAGAGGUGUCAGAAAAGUUACCACAGGGAUA
rnacentral:rRNA from 1 species